rnacentral:rRNA from 1 species
GACAGAGGGUGCAAACGUUGUUCGGAAUUACUGGGCGUAAAGCGCGUGUAGGCGGCUUGGCAAGUCGGGUGUGAAAGCCCCGGGCUCAACCUGGGAAGUACACUCGAAACUGCUUGGCUUGAGUACUGGAGAGGGAAGCGGAAUUCUCGGUGUAGAGGUGAAAUUCGUAGAUAUCGAGAGGAACACCGGUGGCGAAGGCGGCUUCCUGGACAGUUACUGACGCUGAGACGCGAAAGCGUGGGGAGCAAACAGG